rnacentral:rRNA from 1 species
AGCGAACGCUGGCGGCAGGCCUAACACAUGCAAGUCGAACGGCUCUUCGGAGCAGUGGCGGACGGGUGAGUAACGCGUGGGAACGUGCCCUUUGGUUCGGAACAACACAGGGAAACUUGUGCCAAUACCGGAUGUGCCCUUCGGGGGAAAGAUUUAUCGCCAUUGGAGCGGCCCGCGUUGGAUUAGGUAGUUGGUGGGGUAAUGGCCCACCAAGCCGACGAUCCAUAGCUGGUCUGAGAGGAUGAUCAGCCACACUGGGACUGAGACACGGCCCAGACUCCUACGGGAGGCAGCAGUGGGGAAUCUUGCGCAAUGGGCGAAAGCCUGACGCAGCCAUGCCGCGUGAAUGAUGAAGGUCUUAGGAUUGUAAUAUUCUUUCACCGGGGAAGAUAAUGACGGUACCCGGAGAAGAAGCCCCGGCUAACUUCGUGCCAGCCGCCGCAGUAACAC